UUUCUCAUCUAGCUUGGAGGGCACUAUGGUGUUGAAUGCUGAGCUGUAGUCUACAAACAGCAUUCUCACAUAAGUGUUCUUUUUUUCCAGGUGGGAGAGAGCAGUGUGUAUUGUAGAUGCAAUGGCAUCAUCAGUGGAGCGGUUGUUGCGGUAAGCAAACUGCAGUGGGUCUAGAGAGAGAGGCAGCACAGAGCAGAUGUAAUCUCUGAUUAGUCUCUCAAAGCAUUUGCUGAUGAUGGGGGUCAGAGCAACAGGACGCCAGUAAUUUAAACAAGUUAUUUUUGAUUGUUUUGGAACAGGCACAAUGGUGGAUGUUUUAAAGCAUGUGGGGACUACAGACAAAGAGAGGGAAAUGUUAAAAAUGUUAAGUUUUAUGCAGGGAUGCAUGAUAUUCCUUCUCUUUUAAUCUGAAAACAUUGGUGAUACUGGAAUUUUAUCUAACUUUUUAAACACUUGUUUCAGUGGGAAACCAACUGUAACUGUGACACCGAGUGCAGCUAGAUUUCUGAAACAGAUCUUCCAUAUUACAGGCACGCUGAAAUGACAGGCAUCUUCGUUUGUGUUCUGAUGAUGAUAGAAAAUCAUACACAUCUGGCAUGGCAUUAAGGCGUUUCAUCGGGAUAAAUCCUGAGAGAGGCACCAAGGCUGGACAAGGCAAAGUCCUGUCAAAGCGUAUGGGGAAAGUCGCCCAGAAAAAGAUGGCAUCAGUCAACCCUCGUGUCUCCAGUCUACUAAAGAAACUAAUGGACUUUGAGUGGGACUUUAUAUAAGUCAGUGAACCCAGUCAUUCACACACACACACACUCACUCAACUCACUCAAAUUCACACAAACACUCACAUAUGAACAC